GAUUCCCUAGUAACGGCGAGUGAAGCGGGAAGAGCUCAAAUUUGAAAUCUGGUAGCCUUCGGUUGCCCGAGUUGUAAUCUAGAGAAGUGUUUUCCGCGUUGGCCCAUGUACAAGUCCCUUGGAACAGGGCGUCAUAGAGGGUGAGAAUCCCGUCCUUGACAUGGACCCCCAAUGCUUUGUGAUACACUUUCAACGAGUCGAGUUGUUUGGGAAUGCAGCUCAAAAUGGGUGGUGAAUUCCAUCUAAAGCUAAAUAUUGGCGAGAGACCGAUAGCGAACAAGUACCGUGAGGGAAAGAUGAAAAGCACUUUGGAAAGAGAGUUAAACAGUACGUGAAAUUGUUGAAAGGGAAACGAUUGAAGUCAGUCAUGCUCUUUGGAUUAAGCCGUUCUGCGGUGUAUUUCAUUGAGCGGGGUCAACAUCAGUUUUGAUCGCUGGAAAAGGGCAGGAGGAAGGUAGCACUCUCGGGUGAACUUAUAGCCUCUUGUCGUAUACAGUGAUUGGGACUGAGGAACGCAGCAUGCCUUUUGGCCGGGAUUCGUCCACGUACAUGCUUAGGAUGUUGACAUAAUGGCUUUAAACGACCCGUCUUGAAACACGGACCCC
rnacentral:rRNA from 1 species